rnacentral:tRNA from 1 species
AUUCAAAUAGUUUAAAAAAAAUAUUAGUUUGUGGAACUGAAGAUAUAAUAUUUUAUUUUGAAUA